rnacentral:rRNA from 1 species
UAUCUCUGUAGAGUCUGCAUAUCAAUAAGCGGAGGAAAAGAAACUAACUAGGAUUCCCUCAGUAACGGCGAGUGAAGCGGGAAGAGCUCAAAUUUGAAAUCUUCAAGGUUCUACCUUGACGAAUUGUAGUUUAAAGAAGUGUUUUCUGUUGGAGUUUUGGUAAAAGUUCUUUGGAAUAGGACAUCAUAGAGGGUGAGAAUCCCGUAUUUGACCAUUAUUUCCAGCUUUGUGAUACACUUUCAAAGAGUCGGAUUGUUUGGGAAUGCAGUCCAAAAUGGGUGGUAAAUUUCAUCUAAAGCUAAAUAUUGGCGAGAGACCGAUAGCGAACAAGUACCGUGAGGGAAAGAUGAAAAGAACUUUGAAAAGAGAGUUAAACAGUACGUGAAAUUGUCAAAAGGGAAGCGUUUGACACCAGUGUUGUUUUCUCGAAAAUCAAUUAAAAAAGGCUGGAUUUUGUGUUGUAUUGACUUUAUCAGCUUUCUGCACUCUUUUCUUGUCUUUUUUAAUGCACUUUUCGUUUAACAAGUCAACAUCAAUUUCUUUUGUUGUAAAAGGGUCAUUGGAAGGUGGCUUUCUUUUCGGAGAAAGUGUUUAUAGCCUUUGACUUCUGCAAUCGGAGAGAUUGAGGUCUGCAGCGUAGAUCCUUCGGGGUUAGAUACAUUUGUGCUAAGUUAUAGCCUUUCAUAGACAACUUGUUGACUAUGAUCAGUCAUGUAGCUUACUCGCUUAUGUCAUUUUACCUACGCUUAGGAUGUUGAGUAGCGACAUACGCAC